GAUUUACUUUAUUGUGAUGUGGAUGACUAUCGAUGUGAUUAGAUUUUACCACAAUGCUUUCAGGAUCAAACAGGAAAAAAAAAGAAAAAGAGGAGCAUUUGAAGAAAUACAUUUUUCGCAGGGUGCUGUCAUCAACAUCUUGUGAUGAUGUGGAAAGCUAAGGUGCCCAAGUGACCUGAUGAGGUUGGAGGAAGGGCCAAGGCACUGGGCCUAGUGUUAGGCUACUAUGCAAGGAUUACCAGAACAUAAGCCAUACCGGGAGAGCCCACCUGGCAUCAGAGUAGAAUAUUACUGGAUUAAUGUACAGGUCAGCAUGCAGCGUGGAGAAACUGGAAAGACUCAUUUCCUGGCUCACUAAAACAUGAAAACAUCACACAUGUUCUGUUACCUGCAUAUGGACACAUUUUGCUAAUAGGGAUGAUCUAAAGCAAGAUCCAUCUUGAGAGUGGAGGAAAUGACUCAUCAGAUACAAGAGCACAGACUGGCUUUGCCAAGCACCACAGCAGCAAGGAGAAUUGUGUUGUCUGCCAGCCCCUCUGCUUCUCAGAAGUCCUGGGACAAGGACUGCUCUCUUCUCACUGGAUAGCAUUUCCUUCUCCUUUUGGGUUUCCUUUUAUUAUUUUCCUUUCCUUCAAUUCACUCAUCUUUGAUUCUAUGUGGUUUCCCCACUUGAGUAUGGAUUAUAUCUCACCUGUGCCCUAGUCACACAUUUUAAAAUCUGUGUGAAGACGCAGUCCCUGACAUGAAGAAAUCAUACACUGAACCAACUGCAGACAAAGCCAAGACAAACCCCAAAAUGCACAUACUGAUGACCCGUGAUGUUAGACACUGUUUGCAUGCUCCUUGGUUAUUUGCUGCUUAUUUUGUGGCUAUUUGAGAA